UACGUAGGGUGCGAGCGUUGUCCGGAAUUAUUGGGCGUAAAGAGCUCGUAGGCGGUGUGUCACGUCGGCCGUGAAAACCUGCAGCUUAACUGUGGGCGUGCGGUCGAUACGGGCAUCAGCUGGAGUUCGGCAGGGAAGAGCUGGAAGUUCCUGGUGUAGCGGUGAAAUGCGCAGAUAUCGGGAGGAACACCAGCGGCGAAGGCGGCACUCUGGGCUGGUACGUGACGCUGAGGAGCGAAAGCGUGGUAGCAAACAGG
rnacentral:rRNA from 1 species